GGCAGAUGAUGUCUUUUUCUCAUGAUGGCCUAUGAAUCCUACUGCAAGCAGUCCUGAUAAUGCCAACGGCUCAGCUAAUGCCAGGAG
ensembl:snoRNA